UACGUAGGGCGCAAGCGUUGUCCGGAAUUAUUGGGCGUAAAGAGCUCGUAGGCGGUCCGUCACGUCUGCCGUGAAAACCCGAGGCUUAACCUCGGGCCUGCGGUGGAUACGGGCGAACUAGAGGUAGGUAGGGGAGAACGGAAUUCCCGGUGUAGCGGUGAAAUGCGCAGAUAUCAGGAGGAACACCGAUGGCGAAGGCAGGUCUCUGGGCCGAUACUGACGCUGAGAAGCGAAAGCAUGGGGAGCGAACAGG
rnacentral:rRNA from 1 species